CCUACGGGUGACAGCAGUGAGGAAUAUUGGUCAAUGGACGAGAGUCUGAACCAGCCAAGUAGCGUGAAGGAUGACUGCCCUAUGGGUUGUAAACUUCUUUUAUAAAGGAAUAAAACGAGGCACGUGUGCCUUUUUGCAUGUACUUUAUGAAUAAGGAUCGGCUAACUCCGUGCCAGCAGCCGCGGUAAUACGGAGGAUCCGAGCGUUAUCCGGAUUUAUUGGGUUUAAAGGGAGCGUAGAUGGGUUGUUAAGUCAGUUGUGAAAGUUUGCGGCUCAACCGUAAAAUUGCAAUUGAUACUGGCAGUCUUGAGUACAGGUGAGGUAGGCGGAAUUCGUGGUGUAGCGGUGAAAUGCUUAGAUAUCACGAAGAACCCCGAUUGCGAAGGCAGCUUACUAAACUGUGACUGACACUGAUGCUCGAAAGCGUGGGUAUCGAACAGGAUUAGAUACCCUGGUAGUC
rnacentral:rRNA from 1 species